rnacentral:piRNA from 1 species
UUCCCCAUGUGACCCAGAGACUUGCUCCUC